rnacentral:rRNA from 1 species
UGGGGAGUGACGUCAAGUCCUCAUGGCCCUUAUGGGUAGGGCUUCACACGUCAUACAAUGGUCGGUACAGAGGGUUGCCAAGCCGCGAGGCGGAGCCAAUCCCACAAAGCCGAUCGUAGUCCGGAUUGUUCUCUGCAACUCGAGAGCAUGAAGUCGGAAUCGCUAGUAAUCGCAGGUCAGCAUACUGCGGUGAAUACGUUCCCGGGUCUU